AUGAACGCUGGCGGCGUGCCUAAUACAUGCAAGUCGAGCGGACAGACGAGGAGCUUGCUCCUCUGACGUUAGCGGCGGACGGGUGAGUAACACGUGGAUAACCUACCUAUAAGACUGGGAUAACUUCGGGAGACCGGAGCUAAUACCGGAUAAUAUAUUGAACCGCAUGGUUCAAUAGUGAAAGACGGUUUUGCUGUCACUUAUAGAUGGAUCCGCGCCGCAUUAGCUAGUUGGUAAGGUAACGGCUUACCAAGGCAACGAUGCGUAGCCGACCUGAGAGGGUGAUCGGCCACACUGGAACUGAGACACGGUCCAGACUCCUACGGGAGGCAGCAGUAGGGAAUCUUCCGCAAUGGGCGAAAGCCUGACGGAGCAACGCCGCGUGAGUGAUGAAGGUCUUCGGAUCGUAAAACUCUGUUAUUAGGGAAGAACAAAUGUGUAAGUAACUAUGCACGUCUUGACGGUACCUAAUCAGAAAGCCACGGCUAACUACGUG
rnacentral:rRNA from 1 species